GUGCCAGCAGCCGCGGUAACACGGGGGGAGCAAGCGUUGUUCGGAAUCACUGGGCGUAAAGGGCGUGUAGGCGGUUGCGUAAGUGGAAUGUGAAAUCCCCCGGCUUACCCGGGGACCUGCAUCCCAAACUGCGCGACUUGAGUAUGGGAGAGGAUGAGGGAAUUCCUGGUGUAGCGGUGAAAUGCGUAGAUAUCAGGAGGAACACCGGUGGCGAAGGCGCUCAUCUGGCCCAAUACUGACGCUGAGGCGCGAAAGCUAGGGUAGCGAACGGGAUUAGAAACCCUAGUAGUCC
rnacentral:rRNA from 1 species